GUGGGCGGGGCGCACAGCGGCUGCAGGUUCGCGGCCUGUCGGUAGAGGCCUCCCUUCUGAGGAGGCGGCGCGCACGCGAUCCGCUGCGUCUCAGCUCCCCGGCGCGGGCCGUUCUUCCCAAUGGAGGUCCCCGCGCGCCCGGUCCCGUACUUGGUGCUCCAUGUUUCUUGAAAAUAUGAAAAGGAAUCAUAUUCAGGCUUCUAAUGUGAGGAAAAACACAGAAUGACAAGUGUGGGAAAGAGCAAGCACUAAAUUACUGUCAGAAAAAUAAACGGAGUAGCACAGUGGUGCUCGGUGAUUUACGGGGGCAAUUAGUCACCACCCCACAGUGCUGCUGAGGACAGCAUGGCAGCAGACUCGUCAGGCCUGAGAGGAAGAAGAGGCUUUUUGCACUGUUCUCCAGACAACUUUUCAAAAACAAGAGAAGAUAUUUGAAGCACACUAGGUUCUGUGUCUUCAUUCUAGGUGCCCACCCUUCACAUUAUUCAACCAACCAAAAACAUAAAUGUAUUUUUAGCACAAUAUUAACCUGCUCUGUGUGUGUUAAAAAGUCUCCAACUGCAGCUUUUUUCUCUCCCACUGUCCAAAGUAGAUUUCCUCCCAUCCCUUAAACAAACAAGCAAGCAAACAAACAAACAAAAAAAAACCUUUCUCAGCUCCCAAAUUAUCCCCCUGAUGUGUGCCUUGGGUCUGGGUCUGUCUCAUUACUUCUUGCAUCUUACUACUGUUCUGCAUGUGCUCAGAGCCACUGGGUGCUAAAGAAUUUGGUCUACACCUCCUCUGAGGAGUUUCUGGUGAGGAACACAGAUUAAAUAAGAAAGACUUCCUAACAUUUGUUAAUAUGUUCUUUAACAUACUGUAUAGAGUGUGUUGUGUACAUAGCAAAACAAACGUCAAAUCCUCAAAUAUAAUUAAUUGGUAUGCAUUCUUUAGUAGGAAUUCUUUUCCCUCAGAAGAAACCUGGAACAGAAGACCAGAAAAGAACCAGGUCAGACAAAAUUACAAUAGACUAAAUGCCAUGUCUCUGUGGGACCAAUAACAGUGCAGCCUCAUUGGAAGUUUAUUAGCCUUAUGUAAUGUUACCUAAGAUGUUGUCAUCUUACAUUUCUGAAGCCUUUUGCAAUUUGCAAAGUACAUGUGGUAUUCCUUUUUUCAUUUAAACUUCCUUUGGCUUUUGUGAAGAACACCUGCUCACUUAGAAACAUGUUCAGUGAACAUGUGCACAGUUGGAGAAUGUGACCCAAUACGCGACACCUUGGCCUGUUCGCUGGAGUCCAGAAGAGGGUGAACUAUGUUGAUGGGCUUGUGUUGACGGAAUACACAUUCAACUGGACACUUAGUUUCUGACAAGGAGAGCCACAACUGGAUAAAAUGAACAUUUUAUUGACUACUCUUCACAUCAUAAGGUUUCUCCUGCUUUGAGUUUAUAAGCAAGAUGUAUCUUUUGAAACCAUUGCAGAUAAUAUAAAAUCCUAGAGUGUGAUGUGGAAUUGCAUAUUUCUGACUACAGUGUCACUGGUUUUCAACUACCAUGUAAAAAGGAAAGCAGAUCUGACUAGGAAAACAGGCAGAUGUGUUUCUUUUUUUAAACGUUAUUUUAAAAAUUAUUUUUCCCCUUUUGUUGACCUUGUUUAUCAUUGUCAUUGUUGUUAUUAUUGUUGUUGUUAUUGCUGGAUAGGACAGAGGGAAAUCCAGAGAGGAGGGGAAGACAGACACUUGUAGAUCUGCUUCACUACCUGUGAAGCGAACUCCCUGUAGGUGGGGAGCUGGAGGCUCGAACCAGGAUUCUUGUGUGGGUCCUUCCGCCUGUCCUUGUGCUUCACGCCAUGUGUGCUUAACCCGCUGCCCCACCGCAUGGCUCCUGCAAAUGUGUUUCUGUGCAUCUUCUCAAGCAUACAAACUUGUUUAGGUCUUACUGAAUACUAGUAGUAAUAAUUUGGAAAUUUAACUAAAAAUACUUUCUAGUAGUGAUUAUCUUUAUUUAUUUAUUGGGUAGAGACAGUCAGAGAUCAAGCAUAUGGGAGAGACAGAGAGGGAGAGAGACAGAAAGACACCUGCAGCCCUGCUUUACCACUCACAGAGCUUUCCCCCUGCAGGUGGGGACCGGGGGCUUGAACCUAGGUCCUUGCGCAUUGCAACACAAGUGCUCAACCAGAUGCACCACCACCCAGACCCUAUUAAAGUUCAUUUUAAAAGAACUUUUAUGUAUUUUUCACAUCUUUUACUAAAGUCACAUCUGUAGUUUCUGAAAGAGGGUCACAAUUAGGAAAAUUACCCCCACAUACGAAAAAUGAAAUUUAAGAUAAAAAAAUUCUGCAUUCCUAGUAAGUUUUAUGUUUACUCCCUUCUUGAUUUAGAGUAUUCUAAAAAUAUAUUCCUAUGGGUCAUGUUUUAAUAUGCAUGAUGUUUUUGUUUAGAAAUUAUGAGCUAGUGAAGAGUGAAAAUGACCUUGGCUAUUGUACCUUUUUAUUGCUAGAAAUCAUAGCCUUUUUAUAUCUAGAUUCAGAUAUCUUCUCUACUAACCAUUUCACAUGUUAGAGAGAAGAUUUGGGUUGAAUGAAAAUAGGAGGUUGGAGCUUUUUAAAUGCUCUUAUGUUUGUGUUUAUGUGGAAUAUUUAUGUAGUAUUUUGAUUUGGCUGUAAUCUAUAACUCCUGCUUAUUUUACUGGCGACUAUAAUUUUUAAAUUAAUGGUUAUAAUUUUGGCAAGGCAUACAUGAAAAGUUAUAUGUUCAUGCUUGAAAGGAAGGUCAUUAAAUAUUCAUUAUUACCACUCAAAUUAGUUGUCAUGCUCUAUAUAACAGUUUCCUGCCGUUAUCAUUUUGCUAGUUUAGACUCAGCAGCAGGGAACAGAAUACUUAGUUCAUCUUAGUAGAGGAAUUUUUGGUAGGGAACAGAGAGAAAUGAUUUUAAAACCCAUCCGACAUAUUUAUGUUGACAAAUUAUUUAAAGGAAUUACUGCUUUGUGAAUAAACAUGUUUGUAUGUUGGAACAGGAUUGUAGUUGGAUUUACUUCUAGCUGUUUAAUUACUCUAUGACUGUGAAAAACAGUUCUUCAGUGGUUAUGAGGCAGAAGUUGAAAACAUAAAGACUGGUAUAUGUUAGUCUUUUGCAGACAUCUAACCUUGCCAUAAAAAAGUACUUUUCAUUUUUGGAAGUGGUGUUGAAACCUUGUUUUUUCAGUGAAGCUAGAUUGUACAGUUUGUUUUCUUCAUCUGAUAGAAAAAAAAAAUCCUCUAUCCUCAAGAAAAUAGAAUGCAAAAAGUGAAAUGAGACAUGGUUUUUAUAAAUGUUUCCGGUGAAUAUGGUGAAUACAUACAGAACUGCCUUCUCAACACAUUUCUUGAAAAAUGUAAACUGAAAAUAAGCAAAUACAAAUAGAUUUUGAUAUAAAAACAUCUUGCUUUUUCCUCCUGUCUUGAUAUGCUACUUCAGUUAUGUGAAGACAUUUUUUCUAUCACAUAUAUGAGUCAUUCCAUACUGUUGAGUAAUUUAAAUUGACUCUUUUUUAUAUACAUAGGGGAAAAAAACAUACAUUUGAUUCUGAUUUUGUCUAACUUGAGAGUUUUCUGUCUUAAAGUAAAAUUGUACCUGAUGAACACAUUUUGCAUGUAUCAACUUUGCUGCUGGACUCUUUAUAAUGACGGUUUAUUUGAUUGUUUUUUGUGCAGAAGAGAGAAAAAGAUAUAGGUCCAUGAAUCAAUCUAGAUAAUGGGGAAGGCUGAAUGUAAUAAAUAAUACAGUAACAACCCUAAACUAAUGAGCUGUUGCUAAGGUACAUUUCAUAGGCUCAUCCUCUAUAUAAAAAGUCACUAAUAACCCCUUGGUGUAAUCAGAUGGUAAAGCUUUGCUAUAAGGCAACACCUGUGCAAUUAGAACCGCAGAUUCUUUUGCACGUUUCAUUAAUUUUAGGAUUUUGUAAAGGCACAAUGACUACACUAAUAAUCUAGUCUACUUGACUCCAUGUCUACUGGAAGCAAAGUGUCUAAUUAGAUAAAAGUAAUUAAUUAGAGAUAAAUGGAGCUAAUCAGGCUCAGUUAACACUAAUUCUCUGAAUUAAGACAUUUUGGGACACCUAUUAUCCUGCUGACUUUGAUAUUUUGCAUAAAGAAUAGGUUCUAAAGGAGUCAGAAAAUUCUGUCAUUUGAAGAUUGAGCAGUCUUUUGAUAGAAUAGUUCGGUAUCUGAAACGAGUUUCUUUUAACAUUGUGCUAUUUUACUACCUUUCUGUUUCAGCUUAAUUUACUUUGUAGUUAUUCCAAUUUGUGCUAGUUUCUGUAUAAAUUUUAGUAACCAUUGCUAUCAUGCUUAUCUGUCUAGCCCACCAAUGAAAGAAACUCUUAAGCUGUUUUCAAUACUUAACUUGUUAAUUACAAGAAUAUUGUGGCUCGUCAACCUAUAUCCUAAAAUUAUGAUCCUUUAAAGAGAAUAAACACCUUAAAAUUCUA